rnacentral:rRNA from 1 species
GCGUGUGUGAUGAAGGCCUUAGGGUUGUAAAGCACUUUCACUGGUGAAGAUGAUGACGGUAGCCAGAGAAGAAGCCCCGGCUAACUUCGUGCCAGCAGCCGCGGUAAUACGAAGGGGGCGAGCGUUGUUCGGAAUUACUGGGCGUAAAGGGAGCGCAGGCGGUUCAUUCAGUCAGGCGUGAAAGCCCUGGGCUCAACCCGGGAACUGCGCUUGAUACUGAUGAGCUUGAAAUCAGGAGAGGAUAGUGGAAUUCCCAGUGUAGAGGUGAAAUUCGU